UUAUUAUUUUUUUUAAAAAUAUUAAUAAAUAAUUUUUAAAAAAAUAUAAUUGACGGACAAUAAAUGAUGUAGUGUGAGGAAUUACUUGGUUAGAUGUAAUUAUAAUUACAGUAUAAUUGAAGAUGCAUGCAGUUGAAAAUGCAGCAAUUAUAACUAUAUAUAUUUUGUUUGCUUAGAUGUAGUAGAAAGCGCUACAACUAUAAAUAAUUUAGGAUAAACUUCAAAUUCCACCCCUGUGGUUUCGUACUUUUUCAUUUUAGUACGAUGUGGUUUAAAGUUUAUCAAUUUAGUAUCUUGUGAUUUCAUUUUUUUUCUUUUUGUCAGCUUCUCUUUUAACAUGUCAUUAAAUUAUAUACAAAAAACUUCAGAUACCCUACUAGGUUUAUCGAAUAUUCACUUUAGUAUCUUUUAGUUUUAACUUUGUCACUAAUUUAACGAAAAAAAUUAGUGAAAGAAAUAAUAAAAUGAGGAAAAUGAAACAACGGGAUACUAAAUUAAUAUACUUUAAACCACAUAAUACUAAAAUAAAAAAGUGUGAAAUCAUAUGGGCGAUAUUUGAAGUUUUUCUAAUAAUUUAUUUAGUUGCAUGAAGUUGAAAAGUGAAUUUUAAAAUUUUAUUAUUUUAUAUAUAU
rnacentral:lncRNA from 1 species